rnacentral:lncRNA from 1 species
UAAAAUAGCUUAUAAUUUGGAAGGAAGUGAUAUUUCACUUAUUAAACAAGGUCUAUAGUUGGUCCAACCCCUAGAAAUGACGAAGAGGUCCUUGAGGUGAACUUGAACUGGGAUGGAGACAAUAGGGUCGGUUUUGAUUGGUGUGGAGAAAACAGGGUAUGUUUUGGAUCACAUACAGAUCAUAAGAAUCUAGAUAUAGGGCUUUUGUUGUUCUACCUGGGCUUCAAUUUCAACAGAAUGGCCCACAUAUAUUGUCCUCCUUGGAAGAAACUACUGCAAACAGGGCGUGUUACAAUUUGGGCUGUUGUCGAAAUAUAUGGCCCAAUGUGGAAGGCUAGUCGCCGCCGGGCGGGGUUUUCAUUCAGUUAAAAAAAACGUCGUACGCAGAUCCGUCACGGAGGGCCCAAGAACGGGCUAGCCAUAAUCCCCUCUCCCACCUCGCAUCGCCGCUCGCCACUCCGGCGCCG